AACGAACGCUGGCGGCAUGCCUAACACAUGCAAGUCGAACGAGAAGUUCGGGGCGAGGGGCGCACGGGUGCGUAACGCGUGGGAACCUGCCAUUAGGUUCGGAAUAACUCCGCGAAAGGGGUGGUAAUACCGGGUAAUGUCUUGGGACCAAAGAUUUAUCGCUUGUGGGUGGGCCCGCGUUGGAUUAGCUAGUUGGUAGGGUCAAAGCCUACCAAGGCGACGAUCCAUAGCUGGUCUGAGAGGCUGAUCAGCCACACUGGGACUGAGACACGGCCCAGACUCCUACGGGAGGCAGCAGUGGGGACUAUUGGACCAUGGGCGAAAGCCUGAUCCAGCAAUGCCGCGUGAGUGAUGAAGGCCUUAGGGUUGUAAAGCUCUUUUACCCGGGAUGAUAAUGACAGUACCGGGAGAAUAAGCUCCGGCUAACUCCGUG
rnacentral:rRNA from 1 species